UAUUGGACAGUGUACUAGUAGUGGGGAGAGGUGAGAGAGAAAAGAGACCGCUCCAGCUCUCUGACUCUGCACAUAUACAGAGAAAAAGAAGUAAAGUGAAUCACAAACACCAGAAAGCUAAAACCAAAACCGAAAGACAGUUUUUUUGAGCAAUUCAAAGCACAGCCAGAACCCAACACAACUCCUUCAUUUUCCUCCUACUGUUCUGUUUUAGUCAGAACCCAUUUCUCAAAUCAUCCUUCCAAAACCUGUCAUGAUUUGAUCCAUUUCGGCCAUUUCCCAAAUGGGUAUUCCCUUGAAACCUUUUUCUUGCUUCUUCUUUCUCUGUCUUCUCUCUGUCAAUCUUUCUCAGUCUGCCCUUGAUUACAGCACCUUGGUCUACAAGGGUUGUGCGAAGCAAGCUUUUCAAGAUCCAAAUGGUGUCUAUUCACAAGCCAUCUCUGCCCUUUUUGGCUCUUUAGUCUCGCAGUCCACCAAAACCAAGUUCUUUAAGACCACCACCGGGACUGGCCAAACAACCAUAACUGGUCUCUUUCAAUGCAGGGGAGACCUUAGUAAUACUGACUGCUACAACUGUGUCAGCAAACUUCCAGUUUUAACAGACAAACUCUGUGGCAAAACAAUAGCUGCAAGAAUCCAGCUUUAUGGAUGCUACAUUUUGUAUGAAGUUGCUGGCUUUACACAAAUUUCAGGUAUGGAAAUGCUGUACAAGACUUGUGGGGCUACAAAUGUGGCAGGAAGUGGGUUUGAAGAGAGAAGAGAUACUGCCUUUUCGGUGAUGCAAAAUGGUGUGGUUAGUAGCCAUGGCUUCUACGCCACCAACUACCAAUCUAUGUAUGUUUUGGGGCAGUGCGAGGGUGAUGUUGGAGAUUCAGAUUGUGGCGAGUGUGUGAAAACUGCUGUUCAGAGAGCUCAAGUUGAGUGUGGGAACUCUAUUUCAGGCCAAAUCUAUCUGCAUAAAUGCUUUAUUAGUUACAGUUAUUAUCCAAAUGGGGUGCCCAGGAGAUCAUCAUCUUCUUCCUCGUCUUCCAAUUCAUUUUCAUCAGGGACAGGGCAAAAUACGGGGAAGACAGUGGCCGUUAUAGUAGGAGGGGCAGCUGGUGUUGGGUUCUUGGUCAUUUGCUUAUUGUUUGCAAGAGGUUUGCUGAAGAAACAUGAUGAUUUUUAAGAGAAAGAGAUGGAUCUUAAAGAGGAGGCAAGCAAUCAUCUUUCCUCGAGAUGUGUUUCUUCUCUUCUCAUCUCUUUCUGGGCCUGGAUUAGCUAUGAUAUUGCCUAGAAGAUGUAGGCGAUUUGAUGUAGAGCCUCGGGUUGGUUACAAAAAAUGGAAACUCAAAAACACCAUCAUUUUCUUGCAUGAUGCCGAACAGUUUUGUUGUGAUUAUUAAAUGGUGAUAACUCCUCCUGUAAGAUUUCGCAUGAACCAAUUGACUAAACUGCUGAUAGAAUAGAGACAAUCCAGUGUGGUGGUCCUUCUCCCAAGUCCUUACAAAAGAGUGCUGGAGGAGACAGCUAGAUGCAAUUAUCAUGCAUCGUUAGCACCUUGGAGUAUAUAUAGCAAGCUGUCUUUCCAUGGCAACAAACAUGUUAUUUUUUUAUUCAAUGCAGCAAUAUCUAAGCUUGUUUUAUUCAAUGCAGCAAUAACAGGUUAAAGUUCAAGUUA